GAAAAUUGAUGGUGGUGAUGAUGAGGAUGGUGAUGACGGAUCUCAUCCUCGUCCAACCCAUCAGAUGAUGACAGACACCCGAAACCAUCCAACUCCAUAAUACUCCAGAAAUUUACGAUUUUUUUCUAAUUUAAUAAAAGCUCUAAUGAAAUUUCAGAGUUCUUUUCCUUUUCCUUUUCUUCUUUUCUCUUCCCAAAAUUAAUUUUCUUCGCUUUCCGUUUGCUUUUCUGGUGUUUUCUCGGGAAAGUUUUACAAGAACAUACAGAAGAGAAAGAGGGGAGAAGAGAGAGAGAGAGAGA
rnacentral:misc_RNA from 1 species